NNNNNGUUAGAUCUGUUCUAACCAUUCAGGAGGGUAAACAUUCUGAUGAAAGAGUGAACAUUCAGCACCUCAUGAUGAUGUCCUUUCGCAUGCUUCUCCUAUGUACCUAUGGAAAUCUGAAUAAAUGUGGGGAAAGAGGCAAGAAGGCAAGACCAUCAGAGGAAUCUAAAGUGGUCUUUCUGGGUGAGUCUAAGCAGAGAAGAGAAGAGAAGAGAAGAGAAGAGAAGAGAAGAGAAGAGAAGAGAAGAGAAGAGAAGAGAAGAGAAGAGAAGAGAAGAGAAGAGAAGAGAAGAGAAGAAUCUCUGUGUAAUAAUUGAAAAGUCAUAGCAAAGGAUAACUGAAUUACACCUAUUGACAUGGGAAUAAAAGUUUUAAAUUA
rnacentral:lncRNA from 1 species